rnacentral:rRNA from 1 species
AGAGUUUGAUCCUGGCUCAGAGUUAACGCUGGCAGCGUGCAUAACACAUGCAAGUCGAGCGGGCUUUGGCGGGGUAUCGCUAGAGCUAGCGGCAGACGAGUGAGUAACACGUAAGAAAUCUACCCCAAAAUAGGGAACAACCUGCUGAAAGGCGGGCUAAUGCCCUAUAUAAUCCUGGAAUGGCAUCAUCCCGGGAUGAAAGGCGUAAGCCGGCUUGGGAGGAUCUUGCGGCCUAUCAGCUAGUUGGUGGGGUAACGGCCCACCAAGGCUAUGACGGGUAGCCGGCCUGAAAGGGCGAUCGGCCACGGAGGCGCUGAGAAACGGGCCUCACUCCUACGGGAGGCAGCAGUGGGGAAUUUUGGACAAUGGGGGAAACCCUGAUCCAGCAACGCUGCGUGAAGGACGAAGGUCUUCGGAUUGUAAACUUCUUUUGUUCGGGACGAAAGCCCGCAAGGGUUUGACGGUACCGGAUGAAUAAGCCACGGCUAACUACGUGCCAGCAGCCGCGGUAAGACGUAGGUGGCGAGCGUUACUCGGAAUCACUAGGCGUAAAGCGCGUGUAGGCGGGUGC